rnacentral:rRNA from 1 species
GACGAACGCUGGCGGCGUGCCUAAUACAUGCAAGUAGAACGCUGAAGGAGGAGCUUGCUUCUCUGGAUGAGUUGCGAACGGGUGAGUAACGCGUAGGUAACCUGCCUGGUAGCGGGGGAUAACUAUUGGAAACGAUAGCUAAUACCGCAUAAGAGUAGAUGUUGCAUGACAUUUACUUAAAAGGUGCAAUUGCAUCACUACCAGAUGGACCUGCGUUGUAUUAGCUAGUUGGUGAGGUAACGGCUCACCAAGGCAACGAUACAUAGCCGACCUGAGAGGGGGAUCGGCCACACUGGGACUGAGACACGGCCCAGACUCCUACGGGAGGCAGCAGUAGGGAAUCUUCGGCAAUGGACGGAAGUCUGACCGAGCAACGCCGCGUGAGUGAAGAAGGGUUUCGGAUCGUAAAGCUCUGUUGUAAGAGAAGAACGAGUGUGAGAGUGGAAAGUUCACACUGUGACGGUAUCUUACCAGAAAGGGACGGCUAACUACGUG